UAGAGCAGGUCGACAUUACCUUUAUAUGUC
rnacentral:piRNA from 1 species